rnacentral:rRNA from 1 species
UACGGGGGGGGCAAGCGUUGUUCGGAAUUACUGGGCGUAAAGGGCUAGUAGGCGGCCAACUAAGUCAGACGUGAAAUCCCUCGGCUUAACCGGGGAACUGCGUCUGAUACUGGAUGGCUUGAAUCCGGGAGAGGGAUGCGGAAUUCCAGGUGUAGCGGUGAAAUGCGCAGAUAUCUGGAGGAACAUCGAUGGCGAAGGCAGCCCCUUGGACCUGUACUGACGCUCAUGCACGAAAGCGUGGGGAGCAAACAGG